rnacentral:rRNA from 1 species
GAUGAACGCUGGCGGCGUGCCUAAUACAUGCAAGUCGAGCGAACAGAUGAGAAGCUUGCUUCUCUGAUGUUAGCGGCGGACGGGUGAGUAACACGUGGGUAACCUACCUAUAAGACUGGGAUAACUCCGGGAAACCGGGGCUAAUACCGGAUAAUAUAUUGAACCGCAUGGUUCAAUGUUGAAAGACGGUUUCGGCUGUCACUUAUAGAUGGACCCGCGCCGUAUUAGCUAGUUGGUAAGGUAACGGCUUACCAAGGCAACGAUACGUAGCAGACCUGAGAGGGUGAUCGGCCACACUGGAACUGAGACACGGUCCAGACUCCUACGGGAGGCAGCAGUAGGGAAUCUUCCGCAAUGGGCGAAAGCCUGACGGAGCAACGCCGCGUGAGUGAUGAAGGUCUUAGGAUCGUAAAACUCUGUUGUUAGGGAAGAACAAAUUUGUUAGUAACUGAACAAGUCUUGACGGUACCUAACCAGAAAGCCACGGCUAACUACGUGCCAGCAGCCGCGGUAA